UUAAAAUCCCAGCCAUUUCCAUUUAUGGAGUGACUACUGUAUACCUCUGUGCACACCCCCCAUUCCACCCCAACCUCCCAGCCCAGCCGAGGUAGUGCAGCAUCUGAAUAUUAAAAAUCAAAAUGGGGCCGGGCGCAGUGGCUCACGCCUGUAAUCCUAGCACUUUUGGAAGCCAGGGCGAGUGUAUCAGUUGAGGUCAAGAGUUCGAGACCAGCCUGGCCAAUGUGGUGAAAACCCGUCUCUACUAAAAAUACAAAAAUUAGCCAGGUGUGAUGGCGCAUGCUUGUAAUCCCAGGCGGAGGUUGCAGUGAGCUGAGAUCCCACCACUGCACUCCCGCCUGGGCGACAGAGCAAGACCCCAUCUCAAAAUAAAUAAAUAAAUCCAAAUAAACCCCUACCCCUUUUCUGCCCCCUGGACCAAGAGAAGGGACUGGGGCAGUCGAGGUUAAGAGGAUCCUACUCCAAGUACAGGUUCUGGCUCUGCCCCCUUGCUGUAAGACGCACUGAGGAAGCCGAACCAGUCGUUUUGCAGAAUGUCCUACACAGGCAACCGACACAUACCCCAAAAAUUCAAUCAUUGUCAACCAUCAAAUUGCCCUGUGUUGGUUUUUGUUGUUGCUGGGUUUGUUUGUUCUGAGACGGAGUCAUGCUCUUUUGUCCAGGCUGGAGUGCAGUGGCACAAUAGCUCACUGCAACCUCCACCUCCCAGGUUCAAGCGAUUCUCCUGUCUCAGCCUCCUGAGGAGCUGGGAUUACAGGCGCCCACCACCACACACUGCUAUUUUUU
rnacentral:lncRNA from 10 species